CUCUCCUUAUCCCCCGAGCAUUUCGGUCCCUCGUGAUUCGACUUCUCUUUCUGUAGUUUUAGUAUAGUAAGGUGAGCGCUGCACGAAUCUUUCUUAGAAAGAUUCAGCGACGAAGUUCUGCCCCUGCAGAGCCCGACUCCUAGCUAAAAUCCCCUUGUAAGUUUCGUCGAAGGAAAUUAUUUUAAAGUAAACGAAGCGCUGUCCGAGUACCGAGUCACCACCUUCUCAAGUGUUGAUAUGAAGUGACAUUACACUGAGAGAUUUAAAGAGAUGUAGAUCACUAGUGUAAAUAAUUGUAAGUUCUGUUUAUG